UCAGAGCUCCUCUAACUGUGUGUGACAGGAUUUGUAUAGAGGAAGGGGCUUUGCAUACCUGUCCUGCCUCACUGCUCCACACACUUUAAGACCCCUAGUACUGAUCAGUGACUGUCCAGUCCAUUCACAGACACUGACACAGGCAGCAUUAUAAUGAUGUCAGUCCUUCUACUGCUGGUGAUUCUGGGACUUGUUGUACAGGAAUCAAUGGCAGAUAUAGUUGUGACUCAGUCUCCAUCAGCUCAGGCUGUUCAGCAGGGACACACUGUCUCUAUCAGCUGUACAGUCAGUCAGAGUGUUUUUGUUUAUUCCGACGGUGAUUCUGCUCUCUACUGGUACCUGCAGAAACCUGGUCAGGCUCCUAAACUUCUGAUUAAGUAUGCUACAACACGCGAGUCUGGGAUUCCUGAUCGUUUCAGUGGGAGUGGAUCUGGGACUCAGUUUACACUGAAAAUCACUGGAGUCCAGGCUGAAGAUGCAGGAGAUUAUUACUGUCAGAGUGUACACAGCAUCAGUGGUAGCAGGGUGUUCACACAGUGAUACAGAGCCGUACAAAAACCUCCCUCAGUCAGACUGCACAGAGACUGCACUGCUGCAGCUGGGACCUACUGCAGGUGCUGAGGGGGGAGGCACUGAUCUGUAACACUCAGCGGCUCUGCUCUAAAACAUUGAGUUUUGUUGUGCAAUAAGGACUGUAAUUUUUAUUGAAUCAAAUUUAAUGCUAUUUCUCUCAAUGUUAAUGUCAGCACAUUAAAAUCUUCCUCUUACUA